rnacentral:rRNA from 1 species
AGUGAACGCUGGCGGUAGGCCUAACACAUGCAAGUCAAACGGCAGCACAGGAGAGCUUGCUCUCUGGGUGGCGAGUGGCGGACGGGUGAGGAAUACAUCGGAAUCUACCUUUUCGUGGGGGAUAACGUAGGGAAACUUACGCUAAUACCGCAUACGACCUACGGGUGGAAGUGGGGGACCGCAAGGCCUCACGCGAUUAGAUGAGCCGAUGUCCGAUUAGCUAGUUGGCGGGGUAAUGGCCCACCAAGGCGACGAUCGGUAGCUGGUCUGAGAGGAUGAUCAGCCACACUGGAACUGCGACACGGUCCAGACUCCUACGGGAGGCAGCAGUGGGGAAUAUUGGACAAUGGGCGCAAGCCUGAUCCAGCCAUACCGCGUGGGUGAAGAAGGCCUUCGGGUUGUAAAGCCCUUUUGUUGGGAAAGAAAUCCUGUCGAUUAAUACUCGGUGGGGAUGACGGUACCCAAAGAAUAAGCACCGGCUAACUUCGUGCCAGCCGCCGCAGUAACAC